AAAACUUUCAACAACGGAUCUCUUGGUUCUGGCAUCGAUGAAGAACGCAGCGAAAUGCGAUAAGUAAUGUGAAUUGCAGAAUUCAGUGAAUCAUCGAAUCUUUGAACGCACAUUGCGCCCCUUGCAUUCCGGGGGGCAUGCCUGUUCGAGCGUCAUUACA
rnacentral:rRNA from 1 species